UACAGAGGGUGCAAGCGUUGUUCGGAAUUAUUGGGCGUAAAGGGCGCGUAGGCGGUGCUAUAAGUCUGAUGUGAAAUCUCCGGGCUCAACUCGGAGUCUGCAUCAGAAACUGCCGUGCUCGAGUGUGGGAGAGGUGAGUGGAAUUCCCGGUGUAGCGGUGAAAUGCGUAGAUAUCGAUCGGAACACCCAUGGCGAAGGCAGCUCGCUGGCCUGCAACUGACGCUGAGGCGCGAAAGCGUGGGGAGCAAACAGG
rnacentral:rRNA from 1 species